CAGGGUGUAGCGCAGGGAUAGCGCGCCGAGUUCGAGAUGCAGAGGCAUAAGGUUUAAAUCCUCUCACUCUGACCA
rnacentral:tRNA from 1 species